CGGGACGGAGCCGGCUCGUAGUCCCUCAGCCGGGCCGUCCGCGCCGCCUGCCGCUCGGGUCUCGGCGCCGCGGCGCAGGGGGCGGAGGCUGAACGGCGGCCGCGCCCCACAGCCUGCCCGCCCCGCAGCCGGAGCCGGCGCGCCUUCUCUCCAGUCCCCGGGCCGGGCUCCCCGCCCACAGCGCCCCCCGGGGCCGGGGUGCGGGGGUCUCAGGCGCGCCCUCUCCCGCGUCUCCCAGCCACGUCUGCUGCCCGGGAUGCGGAGGAGGAGUGGGGGCGGCCUCCGCAGUCCUGCCGCUUCCUCAGCCGGGCCGUCCCUAAGGCGGCCCUCGGGCCCUCGGCUGCCGGGGAGCGCCCUUCCUGGGCCAGACAGGGAUAAAACCAGAGAGAAGACCCACGUUGCAGGGCUCUUGAAACAGUGCUCUCUCUGAUGUACCCCAAAGCUGUUUUGUUUCUCUCUGGCAUCUCCGAGCCCCCCUCCUCAUACGCGCAGUGCGUGCUGAGGAAUCUCUGGUGUCGGCAACACAGAGGGAGAUACGAGAUCUGCCUUCAGGAGUAGUCUCUCAUGGAGCAGCAGAGGCUGCUGUUGAAAAUGUUACACCACAAGGAAGAAGGUGGUCAAUUCUGCCGGAGAGGCGCCGACCUCUAGAAAUUCAGAGGGCUCACAGGGAUUGAACUCAGGACCUUGUGCUUGCCAGGCAGAUGCCGUGCCACUGAGCUACAUCCCCGGCCCUAAUUCAUUGUUUUUAAUCAAAUAGUUAUUGGUCACUCCCAAUCGUGUGUUAGAUACUGUGGAAAGUUCUUAAGAGAUGGGAGGUACAUGAAAAUCAUAAUAAAUGUGUAUGACUACAGGGGCACCUAAAAGAGCAAAGGAGAGAUUCGUGAAGAAAAACCACUCAAGAUCAGCUAUGUAAACCAGGUGUGGUGGCAUAUGCCUAUUAUCCCAGCACUUGGGAGGCUGAGGCAGGAGGAUGCAUCGAGCUUGAGCCAGUCUGGGCUACAUAGUGUGUUCAAGGCCAGCCUGGACCACAUAGGGAGAGCCUCUCAAAAAAAAAAAAAAAAAGGCUCUGAGAGGACAGGCAGUAUUUCUAAAUGCAGAGAUAAUGUAAAUAAUUCCAGCCACAGGAACUGAUAUUUGCAAAGGUCAGAGGUGGUGUGGAGCCUGGGUGUGUGAUCAUGUCUGACUGCCACUGAGCUGAAGAGGGGUCAGAAGGGACAGCCGGGCUCAGGCCCAUUAGGAGGACUUGAGUGCCCAACCCAAAGGCUUCUGUGUCCACCUGAGUCAUCCAGAUUCGGCAAAUAAAAAUACAAGAUGUCCCAAGAAGGCUUGAAUUUGAAUACAUAAGCAAUCAUUUGUAAGCUUUUCUCCAUGCAAUGUUUGGGACUUUCUCAUAUUAAAAAUGUUUUAUUUUGUUUUCUGAAACUCAGACUUCACCCAUGUUUUACCUGGCAGUCUUGGUUCACGUUGUGCUUUGGAGGGAGCUGCUCAGUGCAGAGGUCCCCUCCCAGCCUCCCAUCUGUGUCGCUCAGUGUUAGGUGCUUGCCUUGAUGCGUG
ensembl:lncRNA